CUCGCCACCGUCAUUAAACCCCAAUUUCACCGAUCGAGAAACUGAUUUUGAAUUAAUCACCCUGCUUUUCUACUUCCCCCUACUAGUUCAUUCAAGAUCUUCUUACAUGAAUUCAAAUUUAGUCGGCAAAAAAUGGAGCAUUACAUUACAUUUAUAGAAAAUGAAACAAAUCUUCUCCUUUCCCCUUCAUAUAAAUACGCCGUGUAUUGACACCCGGCGGGAAAACUUACAUUUUGCCCCAAAACCUCCCUCUUAAAACCACCACUCUCUCCCCCAAUUUCCCUCAAUUCUGUCGAACCCUAAAAAUCCCAAAUCCCUCAAUUCUUUCGAACCCUAAAAUUCCAUUGCAAAUUCACUCCUUUACGACCAAAACCAGUGAACAAAAUCAAUAUCAAAAUCAAAUCGAAUUUGAUUUUUUUUUCUCGUUUUUUUUAUUUAUUUUUACUCUCAAUUCAAUGGCGUUACCUCUUUCACCCGAGGAAAACGCGAUUUCUAAGCCGCCAUUACAGGUAGAUGACGUGGAUGACGAUAGAGACGACGUCACUACUCCGCGGAAGUACGUACCGCUAUGCGAUGUGUACUCUGCUACCUCCCCUUACGUCGGCGGCGCUAGUGGGAGUAAAAAAGUAAAAGCCGCUCGUAAAAUCACUCCCAAUUUGGAGACUGAUGAUCAACGAAAAAGGAAACUUCCGAUUACUCAGUUUUACACUCGUCGGUGUAAAAGGAAACGACAGGAACCGUCAUUUUACGACUCGUUAGUUUCUCAAUCGGAGAAACUAGGGUUUGAUUACGGCGGCGAGGGUGAAAAUGAGGGCGGAGAGGAGGGAGUAGGUGUAAGAUAUAAGGAGAAGCAGAAGAGAAAGGUGAGUAAUUCAAAACCGUUUUCUCGAUCGGUGAAUGUAGCUAAUUUAUCCGAUGAAAAUAGAGAAAACGAGGGCGAAGGUGAUAAAACAGUUGUAAAAAGUAAGAGAAAAGUGGGCAAUUCAAAGCUAGAUAGAGAUGAUAGGAUAGACGAGGGCGAAGACGAGGAACUGUUUAUAAAGAGUAAGGAGAAGCCGAAGAGAAAAUUAGGGUUAUGUGAUGGAAGUAGCGAAAACGAGGGCAGAGACAACGAAAUGGCUUUAAAGAGUAAGGAGAAACUGAAGAGAAAAGUGGGCAAAUCAGGGAAUUUAUGUGAUGAAAAUAGAGAAAAUGAGGGCAAAGAAGGGGAAAUGGUAAUAAAGAGUAAGGGUAAAGUGGGAAAUUUAAAGCUAGUUUCUCACUCGUCAAAGUUAGCGAAUUUUUCCAAUGGAAAUAGCGAAGAUGAGGGCGACGCGGACGAGGAAAUGGUUACAAGGAAUAAAGAGAGGCGGAAGCGAAAAGUGGCUAAUUCAAAGCUAGGUUCUCACUCGGCAAAAUUAGCGAAUAGAGAAGUCGGGGCCGAAGACAAGGAAAUGGCUAUAAAUAGUAAGGAUAAGCCUAAGAGGAAUGUGGGAGAUUUGAAGCUAGUUUCUCACUCUGGAACUGAGGGCGAAGAAGAGGAAAUGGUUAUAAAGAAUAAGGAGAAUUUAGAAGUAGUGAAUUUUUGUGUCAAGAGUGAGAGGGACGACAAGGGAGAAGAUGAUGGAGUAGUGGUUGUGAAGCAUAUUAAUAAGAAGAAGGAGAAGAAGAGGAGGAAGUUGGUUAAUCCGGAGCUGGCAAAUUUGGGGGUAGAUGCUAAUAUAAUCGGUCAGUUGAACGAGUCCUGUUCCAGAGGAACGCGAAAUAGUGCUGGUAAAAAUAAAGUUGACACCAAUCACGGUGGUGACGAUUGCAAAAAUUCUAACUCCACGGGUAACAUUAAGAAGCGAAAGGAAAAUUGUAUUUUGGAGAAUCAUUUGAACAAUAAAAGCUCAGGGUCAAGGCGGACCAAGAAAUGGGUUUGGCUGAGUUUUGAAGGCGUUGAUCCCAAGAAAUUCAUUGGACUACAGUGUAAGGCAUAUUGGCCAUUAGAUGCUGAUUGGUACACUGGUCGCAUAAAUGGGUACAACUCGGAGACUGGACGGCAUCAUGUGAAAUAUGUAGACGGGGAUGAAGAGCAUUUACUUUUAUCAAAUGAAAGGAUCAAGUUUUCUGUUUCACUUGAGGAGAUGAAUCGUUUGAAGUUGAGACCCAGCGAUACGAGUCCUGAAACUGAUGCAAUUGAUGUUGAUGAGAUGGUUGUAUUAGCUGCUAGUUUGGAGGACUGUGAAGCUCUUGAGCCUGGAGAUAUUAUAUGGGCCAAGCUGACUGGUCAUGCCAUGUGGCCUGCCAUUGUUCUAGAUGAAUCUCUUGCUGGUGGGCGUAAAGGUCUAAACAAAGUUUCAGGGGAAAAUUCAGUUCUUGUGCAGUUUUUUGGCACCCAUGAUUUUGCUAGGGUCAAGUUAAAGCAAGUUAUCUCUUUCCUAAGAGGGCUUCUUUCUUCCUUUCACCUGAAGUGCAAAAAACCAAAAUUUGUUCAAGGUUUGGAGGAAGCAAAAAUGUAUCUUAGUGAACAGAAGCUCUCAAAGAGGAUGCUGCGGUUACAGAAUCGUAUCAAUGCAGAUAAUAAUACUGAGAGCGAAGAAGAUGAAGGCAGUUCUGAUUCAGAGGAUGAAGGGGGGUUGAGGAGAAAGCUUGAGGAUGUCAAAAAUUGCCCAUUUGAAUUGGGAGACUUGCAAGUAGUUAGCCUUGGUAAAAUAGUAGAAGAUUCGGAUCUUUUUCGAGAUGAGAAAUUUAUCUGGCCAGAAGGUUAUACUGCUGUGAGGAAGUUCCCCUCAGUAACAGAUCCCGGUGUACGUGUCUCAUAUAAGAUGGAGGUACUGAGAGAUCCUGAUUUCAGGACACGGCCUUUAUUUAGAGUUACAUCAGAUAGUGGAGAACAGUUUAAGGGAUCUACACCAUCUGCUUGCUGGAAUAAAGUUUACAAACGGAUGAGGAAGACACAAGUUGACAAUUUUGACGAAUCAGUAUCUGGCGGUGAAAGUGAAAGGACUUUUGGAUCGGGUUCUCAUAUGUUUGGCUUUUCUCAUCCUGAAAUUUUGAAACUUAUAAAGGAAUUAUCAAACUCCAGGCUUCUCGCAAAAUCAUUGAAAUUGGCGUCUUCGAAAAAUCAAGGCCUGCCUGCUGGAUAUAGGCCUGUCCGCGUUAAGUGGAAAGAUCUGGACAAAUGCAACGUUUGCCAUAUGGAUGAGGAGUAUGAGAAUAAUUUGUUUUUGCAGUGUGACAAAUGUCGAAUGAUGGUCCACGCUAGAUGCUAUGGGGAACGGGAGCCUAUGGAUGGAGUACUUUGGUUAUGCAAUUUGUGUCGUCCAGGGGCUCCAGUAGUCCCUCCCCCUUGUUGCCUGUGCCCUGUUAUUGGCGGUGCUAUGAAGCCUACAACUGAUGGACGUUGGGCUCAUCUUGCUUGUGCCAUUUGGAUACCAGAAACCUGCUUAUCUGAUAUAAAGAGAAUGGAGCCUAUUGAUGGUUUGAGAAGGAUCAGCAAGGAUCGCUGGAAGCUCUUGUGUAGCAUCUGUGGUGUUCCUUAUGGAGCUUGCAUUCAGUGCUCAAACCAUACAUGUCGGGUGGCUUAUCAUCCUCUUUGCGCACGGGCUGCUGGCUUCUGUGUUGAGCUUGAGGAUGAAGACAGAUUGCAUUUAAUCCCUAUGGAUGAUGAUGAAGAGGGUCAGUGCAUUCGGUUGCUUUCUUUCUGCAGGAAGCAUAGAGCUGUAUCUAGCGACCGUCCUGCUGUUGAUGAGUGUGUCGGACAAAAAGCUUGUGGAUAUUCAGACUAUACUCCUCCAUCAAAUCCUUCUGGAUGUGCUCGCAGUGAGCCUUACAAUUAUUUUGGAAGAAGAGGAAGAAAAGAACCUGAAGUCCUUACAGCUGCAUCUUUGAAGCGCUUGUAUGUAGAAGAUAGGCCAUAUUUGGUUGGUGGCCAUAGUCAGCACGAUCAAUCAAGCGACACAUUAUCUUCCUCAUUUGCUGGUUCUAGAUACAGUGUUGACCUUCAAAAGCUAAGGUGUUCACAGCUCGAUGUGUCAAGGAGCAUCCUUUCCAUGGUUGAGAAAUACAACUUCAUGAAAGAAACCUUUAGAAAAAGACUGGCAUUUGGGAAAUCUGGAAUACAUGGAUUUGGCAUCUUUACCAAGCUCCCUCAUAAAGCGGGAGACAUGGUAAUUGAAUACACUGGAGAACUUGUUAGACCUUCUAUUGCUGACCGAAGGGAGCAUCUAAUUUACAACUCACUAGUGGGUGCUGGAACAUACAUGUUUCGGAUUGAUGAUGAGCGUGUUAUAGAUGCCACAAGGGCUGGAAGCAUUGCACAUUUGAUCAACCAUUCAUGUGAACCAAAUUGCUACUCAAGGGUUAUAAAUGUCAACAGUAAUCCACAUAUAAUCAUAUUUGCCAAACGAGAUAUUAAACAAUGGGAAGAACUGACAUAUGAUUACAGAUUCUUCUCUAUCGAUGAACAACUCGCGUGUUAUUGUGGGUUCCCAAGAUGCCGAGGUGUAGUAAAUGAUACUGAAGCUGAGGAACGAAUGGCAAAGCAGUAUGCACCACGCAAUGAGUUAAUAGACUGGGGAGGAGAAUAAAAGAGAAAUUCUCCCUUCGAAGUGACGCGUCUUUGGUCGCUUGCUCCUUCUUGUGAUGGAGCAGGAGCCGGACUGGGAGAUGGAAGAAUGGAUGAUAAAUUUUAGUGAUAUAACAAGAUCACAAAAAUCAUGAAAUGCUGAUCGAUGGUUUAGAGUGGAGUAUCAAAAACUUACUUGCAAGAGAGGUUUUAAAUUUCACAAUUCUUUUAUUUUUCAUGAAGUGCAUAAAAGUAAAAGAGCACAGCCUCAAGAACAUCCAUGUUUAAAGCCACUGGGUGAAUCUGAACCACUGACUGUAGCAUGGGUGUCUCAGAUCUGUUCGUAUGCUCAGGUAAACCUUCACGCAUACAAACUCUUCCUAAGGUUGCAUCCAGAAGUUGUGGGAAAGAUGUGCUUGCAAGGGCUUGUAAUCUCGAAAAAGUGAGUAUUCAAGGAAAAAAUGAUUGAUUUUUUUUUUUAAGACUAACGAGGGUGAGUUCAACAACUUUGAAAAUCUAAAGUGGUUGAAACAUUUGAAGUUGUUGACUGAUAUUGGCUCUCUGAGGAAAGUUUCUUCAUCUUCCUCUAUAAUUCUUCGGCUCUCUAUGCAAACUGAAGAAUUUAACUUAUCCACAUACGAGGUCAGCUUAGACUCGGGCGAAUAGACUGCGAUACGGAGAUUUUAACCAACUCAAGGUACUGUGGGUUGGAAGGCAGACCUCAAAUCUUGGAAGGUUGUAAAUCUUCAAUUUCAGAAACAUUAGUACCUUGUCAUUAAAUCCUGCGAUGAGUGUGAGACUGUGCCCAUUGAGUUGGUUGAUGUGCGCAGCCUGCACGUGAUGACGUGGACAACACAAACAUGGAGAUCAAAUAUGCAAAAGCCAUUCAACGCAGGAAGCAAGAGAUGCAUCAAGAACACAUGACAAAUUUGGAGUAGAAAUCUAAGAUAAGAAA